CCUACGGGAGACAGCAGUGAGGAAUAUUGGUCAAUGGACGAGAGUCUGAACCAGCCAAGUAGCGUGAAGGAUGACUGCCCUAUGGGUUGUAAACUUCUUUUAUAUGGGAAUAAAAUGUUCCACGUGUGGGAUUUUGUAUGUACCAUAUGAAUAAGGAUCGGCUAACUCCGUGCCAGCAGCCGCGGUAAUACGGAGGAUCCGAGCGUUAUCCGGAUUUAUUGGGUUUAAAGGGAGCGUAGGUGGAUUGUUAAGUCAGUUGUGAAAGUUUGCGGCUCAACCGUUAAAUUGCAGUUGAAACUGGCAGUCUUGAGUACAGUAGAGGUGGGCGGAAUUCGUGGUGUAGCGGUGAAAUGCUUAGAUAUCACGAAGAACUCCGAUUGCGAAGGCAGUUCACUGGACUGCAACUGACACUGAGGCUCGAAAGUGUGGGUAUCAAACAGGAUUAGAUACCCUUGUAGUC
rnacentral:rRNA from 1 species